AUUGAACGCUGGCGGCAUGCCUUACACAUGCAAGUCGAACGGCAGCACGGGAGCAAUCCUGGUGGCGAGUGGCGAACGGGUGAGUAAUAUAUCGGAACGUGCCCAGUCGUGGGGGAUAACGUAGCGAAAGCUACGCUAAUACCGCAUACGAUCUAUGGAUGAAAGCGGGGGAUCGCAAGACCUCGCGCGAUUGGAGCGGCCGAUAUCAGAUUAGCUAGUUGGUGGGGUAAAGGCCCACCAAGGCGACGAUCUGUAGCUGGUCUGAGAGGACGACCAGCCACACUGGGACGGAGACACGGCCCAGACUCCUACGGGAGGCAGCAGUGGGGAAUUUUGGACAAUGGGCGCAAGCCUGAUCCAGCAAUGCCGCGUGCAGGACGAAGGCCUUCGGGUUGUAAACUGCUUUUGUACGGAACGAAACGGCCCCUUCUAAUACAGGGGGCUAAUGACGGUACCGUAAGAAUAAGCACCGGCUAACUACGUGCCAGCAGCCGCCGUAA
rnacentral:rRNA from 1 species